rnacentral:rRNA from 1 species
AGUGAACGCUGGCGGUAGGCCUAACACAUGCAAGUCGAACGGCAGCACAGUAAGAGCUUGCUCUUACGGGUGGCGAGUGGCGGACGGGUGAGGAAUACAUCGGAAUCUACUUUUUCGUGGGGGAUAACGUAGGGAAACUUACGCUAAUACCGCAUACGACCUACGGGUGAAAGCAGGGGAUCUUCGGACCUUGCGCGAUUGAAUGAGCCGAUGUCGGAUUAGCUAGUUGGCGGGGUAAAGGCCCACCAAGGCGACGAUCCGUAGCUGGUCUGAGAGGAUGAUCAGCCACACUGGAACUGAGAAACGGUCCAGACUCCUACGGGAGGCAGCAGUGGGGAAUAUUGGACAAUGGGCGCAAGCCUGAUCCAGCCAUACCGCGUGGGUGAAGAAGGCCUUGGGGUUGUAAAGCCCUUUUGUUGGGAAAGAAAAGCAGCAGGUUAAUACCCCGCUGUUCUGACGGUACCCAAAGAAUAAGCACCGGCUAACUUCGUG